rnacentral:lncRNA from 1 species
AAAAAUGCUACUGAAGUCUAUUAUUUCAUUGAUUUGUAAAUGUCUAAACACAUUGUUAGCACAUUUAAUACAUCUUGUAAAACAUUAUUACUGAUUUUACAAAAAAUUCACAACUAAAAGAGUAUACAUACAAUUCACAAAACAGACCACAAACAAAACUAUUAUAGAUCAUUCAUCUACAAAGACAAGUUUGGAUUCCACUUGAGUAGACAAGACCAGACAACUUUUAAGAA